rnacentral:lncRNA from 1 species
GAAGAUCAAAACUAGUCUUUAAAAACAGGUUCUGUUACAUCCCAGCUGUUAUGGCGCCAGCUGGCUCACGAGCCGGCUCGGUCUGAGCCGAGCCACAGCAAAAACAAGCCGAGCCGUCUAAAGCAGGCUCGUUGGCUGAGAGAGCCGAGCCGAGCCGAGCCGCUUGAGAGCGAGCCAAAGCCAGGCUCGGAUCAAACUCGGCUCGGCUCGGCUCGUGUCCAGCCCUAUGUGUGACUGAUGUGAUCUAUAAAAUGUGUGGCUUCUUACAGCUCUGGAGAUCGAGACGUCAUCGACAACAUCAUUGCGGGUCUUUGUUCCUUGGCGUCGGCUUUUGCUCCACCACCAUCACCGCCGCCGCCGCCGCCGCCGCCCUCCGAGCCGGAUUAGCUUUUGUUCUUUGGGUCUUGUCUUGCUGUGCCCCAGCGUGAUUCUAUGACUUGAUUGUACUUUGUACUGCUAUGUGAGAUGCUUGGUUCUUUGCUUUAUAAUAUAUAAAGCGGGAGAAACCCCUUUUUCAUAAAACUGAAAACUAAUACGGUGAUACAGCCAACAUCCCCUGCCUUUCAUCCGUCUCACACACAUGCAGAAUUGCGCAGAACUUGGCCAGCCGCCAAGCCCCAAACACACCACAGUUUAUUGAAAGGAAAAAAGCCACAGUACAUCACACAGAGAUUCUAAAAGAGAAGACCCAGCUUGGGCAUAGCAAAUCCACUGAAUAACACUCUGAAAAAAUCGAGUGAUGAAACAUCAUCUAUGUUUUUUCUUUUUCUGUUUUUGCAUCUACUGUAUAUGUUAGCUAGUCAGUGGGAGUGGGACCAUAGAUGGGUGGAAAACCUAUUCUCCAGUGGUGGAUGAACCCAAAUCGGUAUGCAAGACUGCAGCAACAUCUAUGGGGCCGGGUUCCACUGUCAGAGAUAACGGAGCAUCAAAAAAAGAAGAUAAAGUUGAUGAUGGAGGCUUGGCUUACCACGCGAUCUGCUUCCCGGCCGUCGAGCGGCCGCUACCGUUGCUCUCCGCUCUAGUCGCCGCCGCCGCUGCCCUCUCGGUUCAGCUGCAGUCGCCGCCUGGGAAUCUCACGAAGCUCAGGCCGCGGCCUGGUCGUCUGGGUGGUAGGGAGUGGGGAUUAUGGAAGAAGGCGGGACUGCACGAGGCAGAGGCAUGGCAGGCGGGAGAGCGGUGGAGGGGUGGAGCCGCUGGAUCCAUGGGCUGGGCGGAGGGAGCUUUGUAGAUUUGGGGAUAUCUUGGUUGGUGCUCCGACUGAUUGCUUGACCUGAACUGGGUCGUGGGUGUGGGUCGUCGGGGGAGGCGACCUGCGGCACCCUUUCCUUUC